rnacentral:rRNA from 1 species
UACAGAGGGUGCGAGCGUUAAUCGGAAUUACUGGGCGUAAAGGGCGCGUAGGCGGCCACCGCAAGUCGACUGUGAAAUCUCCGGGCUUAACCCGGAAAGGUCAGCCGAUACUGCGGGGCUAGAGUGCAGAGGGGGCAACUGGAAUUCUCGGUGUAGCGGUGAAAUGCGUAGAUAUCGAGAGGAACACCUGCGGCGAAGGCGGGUUGCUGGGCUGACACUGACGCUGAGGCGCGAAAGCUAGGGGAGCGAACGGG